GACGAACGCUGGCGGCGUGCUUAACACAUGCAAGUCGAACGGAAAGGCCCUGCUUUUGUGGGGUGCUCGAGUGGCGAACGGGUGAGUAACACGUGAGUAACCUGCCCUUGACUUUGGGAUAACUUCAGGAAACUGGGGCUAAUACCGGAUAGGAGCUCCUGCUGCAUGGUGGGGGUUGGAAAGUUUCGGCGGUUGGGGAUGGACUCGCGGCUUAUCAGCUUGUUGGUGGGGUAGUGGCUUACCAAGGCUUUGACGGGUAGCCGGCCUGAGAGGGUGACCGGACACAUUGGGACUGAGAUACGGCCGAGACUCCUCCGGGAGGCAGCAGUGGGGAAUAUUGCACAAUGGGCGGAAGCCUGAUGCAGCAACGCCGCGUGCGGGAUGACGGCCUUCGGGUUGUAAACCGCUUUCGCCUGUGACGAAGCGUGAGUGACGGUAAUGGGUAAAGAAGCACCGGCUAACUACGUG
rnacentral:rRNA from 1 species